UCCCUCGUGGCGCAAAGUUGGCUAGCGCGUCAGACGUGUUAAUCUGGAGGCUGUAAGUUCGAUCCUUACCGAGGGAG